rnacentral:tRNA from 1 species
GUCCCUGCAGCGCAAUGGAUUGCGCGUUGGACAUCUAAUCCAAAGGUCGUGGGUUCGAAUUCCACCUGGGAUG